ACAAAAAAACGCGUUUAACCGGUGUAAGUUGUUGCUGAUGGGAGAAAAGACAAAAAAGAAUGCUCUCUGGGAGCUCCCUUGCGUCGACCGGCGGUAGUGGUGUGGCUCUUGAGACGAACAUGCGUGUCUUGUUUGCAAAAACAAUCAAAA
ensembl:ncRNA K02A11.8 ncRNA